rnacentral:rRNA from 1 species
UGGGGAAUUUUGGACAAUGGGCGCAAGCCUGAUCCAGCCAUGCCGCGUGAGUGAAGAAGGCCUUCGGGUUGUAAAGCUCUUUCGGCGGGGACGAGACGGUUCGUGACAACACCACGGACUAAUGACGGUACCCGCAUAAGAAGCACCGGCUAACUACGUGCCAGCAGCCGCGGUAAUACGUAGGGUGCAGGCGUUAAUCGGAAUUACUGGGCGUAAAGCGUGCGCAGGCGGUUUGUUAAGACAGGUGUGAAAUCCCCGGGCUUAACCUGGGAAUUGCGCUUGUAACUGGCGAGCUAGAGGACAAGAGAGAGAAGUGGAAUUCUCGGAGUAGCGGUAAAAUGCGUAGAUCUCGAGAGGAACACCGAUGGCGAAGGCAGCUUCUUGGCUUGUAUCUGACGCUCAAGUGCGAAAGCGUGGGGAGCAAACAGGAUUAGAUACCCUCGUAGUCCCUGAGCGGGCUGGCAAGGCGCAU